AAGGGCACUACCAAAUACCUACUGGGAAUGAUUUUGCCUGUCCCCCAUAUCUUUCAGCUGCAGUAAAUGUAUGAAGCAAUUGUAAGAGCAACACACCUUUCAGCUCUCAUGUCUUUUGGCAUUGUUCGAUAGACUUUUGACCUAAGGAAUGUUGCUUACCCAUUACCCCACCCACCUUUUUCUAUAGAGAGGCAUAGUUCAGUUUUGACCAGCUGACUAUGUGGCAGCAUUGAUUUCAUUUACUGAGGUGUUGGAUGGCUGCUUCAUGUGUCUUCAGAGGGGACUUCCAGUUAGAAAUGAAACUACUGUGAAUCAAAGAAGACAUGAAGGUGCAGAAAAUACUCAUCUUUCUGUUUCAUUUGUAUGCUGUAGUUUCAGGUCCUGAAACUGGGCGAUUUUCCGAAGAUGUUAUUCUUCCUUGCUUUUUUGAAUCUGCGAAAGAUGAAGUAAUUUACUGGAAGAAAGGGAACAAAAAUGUGCACAGCUACUACUAUAAGAAGGAUCAGCUAGAACAUCAAGACUCUGAGUACAAGGGGAGAACAUCCCUUUUUCAUGAACAAAUUCCCAAUGGAAAUGCCUCUUUGAAACUGAGUAACCUGAGCCUGAGUGAUGAGGGCUCCUACAGCUGCUAUGUGGGGACAAAUCACGGUAAAACAGAUGUGGAAGUCAGUCUGCAUGUAACAGUUUCCCCCUCUUAUGCAAUGGAAUAUGAAAAACGAGACACAGAGAGACUGUUGAAAUGUCUUGCCUUUCGUAUUUAUCCUGAGCCAAACAUAACAUGGGCAUACAACAGUACAUCUAUGCAAAACACAAAAAUGGAAGUAACCCAGGAUGGCCCUCUCUAUUUAGUUAGAAGUGAGCAGAUCAUUACAAACAAAGUUUCUUCUUACCAGUGUCACGUUCAAUUUCACAACCAAAAUUGGACUGCUGAAUGGAAAAUGGAAGAUCCGUUUUUUAAAAAGGAAGGAGAUAAUGUUUCAAUUCCAUGUGAAUUUAUGGCUGAAGGGUCUCCAUAUGCUAAAGACUUCAUAGUUACUUGGACAAUAAUCAGAACUGCAUCUACCUUGGUUUUGGCAUCCUCCGACAACUCAUCACAACCCCCUGAACAGUUUAAACCUCGAUUCUCUUGGGAGAAAAUCAAUGAACAGAACUACUCAGUAAUCUUAAGGGAUCUUACUCCGGCAGACAGUGGAGAAUACAUGUGCAAUAUUUCAACACCUCACUAUACACAACUCACUGUAAGAAUUUUGCAAGUUGAGGAUGGGAAGCCAACAAUUCUGUUUUGAGUCUCCUGAAACAAUUUUUUUUCUUUAAAACCCUUCCUGCAAAAAUCAAUCAGUCAUGGUCUGAGGUUUCAUCCUGAUCCGAGACUCAAUUCUUCUUACAGAAAUGCAAAAUGUUUCACUGGAAGGGAUUUCCAUUUCCCAGCCAGCUAUACUACCAGAAAAAUCCUCACGUCACCAUUGGAUAGUUAUAGUGUCACUGAUCCUCAUCAUUGCCUUUGCUAUAUGGUGUGCUGUGAAGAUAAGACAGUGAAGGAUGGAGCCAUAAAAUAAAGAGAGAGCAAAGAUAAAAUGGCUGCAUAUGGACAGUUUACAAUGUAAUGAAGAAGGAGAAGAUUUCAUAACAUAUGAUCAGAGACUUGAGCAGUAUUUUAAUGCAAAUGCUAUGGAAGAUAUAGAUGACUGUUUCCUAACAUUGGUGUGUAAAACCACUUUUGCGGUACAUAAAAGUUUUCUGCAAGAACCUGACGAGCUGGAAUAUGAGAACAUAAAAGAGAUUCUAAAGAAGCAUUUUUGUGCCUAUUGCCAAUUUUUUAACAGACCCAUAUAAGUUUCAUCUAAGAAACCAGCUAGAAGGAGAAAGUAUCUGAAUUUUUGGCAACCCUGAAAAAACUGUCCACCAUUCUGUUUUGGUAAUUUUCUGAAGGAACUCUCAGAUCAAUCUGAAUUAAGAAAGAGGUUGUUGGAUGUUGUGUAUCACAAGGAACUGCCACUAGAUGAAGACUGCUCUAUUUGAAUCCACACAAAAAGUGUGCCAAAAUUUGAAAAUAAAUUGGCCUCAUCGUGCUGGGUUGGAAAGAAGGGCCUCAGCAGUGGAUGAAAGAAACACCACCACCCGGUGGCACCUGUCAUAGGAGCCAAACAGAACAAAGGGAGCCCUGUUUCUGCUGUCUGGGGACACGACACUGGCAGGAGCACUGCACACUGCACCAGGGUACAGCGAAGGAUCCACCAAAAGGAAGCCAUAAGUGUCUACAUGUAGGAGCCACCAUCCUAGUUAGGUGGUGACUGUCAGGGUUGGAAGCAGGUUGUUCCCUGGAGGAAAGGAUGCAUGAGCCAUACCAUUUCACAGAACUGUAUGUGGUGGGAAAUGGGACAAACAUAUCAUCCCCUGUAUUAUGAUAACGUAAAGGUAAAUGACAUGAUAUUGACAAUGGAAGCAGAUACAGGAGCAACCAUAUCUGUGAUCUCUGGGGGCGGGGUGGGGAGGAGUUAAAAUUUUUUUCCUCCUGGGUUAAGAUGAAGAGAAAUAAUGUACUUGGACAGCAUUACAAUUAAGGGCAGAUAGCUGUGUUAGGCAGCCUCUCUGUUACUCUAAUUUAUAUAGAUAUCUAUUCACCAUUAGAGUUAAUUGUGAGUGAAGGAAAUCCUCCUUCCCCCACUGAUGGACACAAACUAGCUAUACAAGUUUAAACUGGAUUGGAGAGUGGUGCACGACAUGCCUGAUAGAGCUGGGGAACUGAAAAACACAAAGCUGUGGGUGGAUUGUACAGAUGUGGGUUUGGAAAGAGGCAAUAACUGAGAGGCUGGUUGUGUUUGACAAGGCCUAAAUUCCUUAAGGCUAGACCUGUGCCUUAUGUUCCGCAGAAGCCUGUGGGAAAAAACGUGAAAAACCCACAACAUAAACCUCCCAGGUUUUUCUGCCUUGGGCAGUGAUGGUGCAAAAUUACAGGGGAGGGAUAAAGUGGGGGGGAAAAGUGUGGUAAAGAAGAUAUUGGACCUAUUGACACAUUUGAUAGCGUUAAUGAAGAGGUACAUUGACUGUUACCAGAUAAAAGCUCAGUAUGAUUACAGAAUGUGGCCCCUGAAGCAAGAAGAGAUUGUUUGGGUUUUUGUUGGCUGGAGAAGGAGGAAUUAGUGUGGAAGAUGGUGGCCAAGAGAGGAAGAGUUCCCCUGCUGGGCAUGAGGACAAAGUUUGGAUGGCCCUUUCUUUCCCUGACACGUACCACUGGCCACAGCCUGUAGCAAAAUGGCAGACCCGGCUGUAAGGUUAAACUUGUAAUUUAGUUUUUAUGGUUGUGUUUAUUAAUUAAGGAAUUUACAGGGGAUGAGUGUGCUGUUUGGAGGAAUGUGUGGGUAUUGCAAACUAUUGCUUUAAGAGCAGGGUGAGGGUGAUUCUCUUGUCUAGCCUUACAGCCUAAGGGGGCUCUGUAGCAAAGCAUGAGAUUGGCUCGGAGUUUCUUUGAAAAGAGCUAGGUUAAAGCAAGGUGGGGAGAGUUGGGCCUUCCUGCUUUAGGGAGCAGCCUGUUUUUCUUCAUCUCCGUCGGGGCCGGCGCAACCCAUUAGGCGACGUAGGUGGUCGCCUAGGGCACUACAAUUUGGGGGGUGGCAACCGUGGCGGUCCCACCGCCUCUGUGGGGGGACGGCAUUUUGGGGCGGGACCUUCCACCGCCUAGGGCAGCAGAAAAGCUGGCGGCGCUCCUGGUCUCCGUGUUUGGGUUUGUGUUAUCGUUCAGGGUUCUACAAAACACUGUUAUGUUGCAACCUUUCAGCAACAGUAGCUAUGUGUUUUACACUGUGUUUUCUCUGUGCAUACACUGUGCACAUAACAGAAAGCAAGCUUGAAUUGCUGAGCAAGAAAACUGUCUGCUGCUGUUUGCUCCUACUAUAUUCAGGGAAACGGGACGUUGGGCCACACUACUUAGAAUUUGGAAUGAUAGCACAUAAACUGCAAACCAACAUUAGUAUCAAUAGCAGUGUGAGUGUGGAAGCACAGCCUGGCCGAGUACACACACUCCCGAAAUUGAAGGAUACAUACUAGGCACUGCUCAGCUGUGCUGCUGCUGCCCGUGCUACCCCAGCUACACAGCUAUUUAUACUCGCACUAGCUCUCUUCAAGCUACCUCAAGGAUGUAUAUGUGAGCAGGGGAAAUCACAUCCCUAACUUGUAGUAUAGAUGUAGCCAGAGAAAGAGAGAAAACAGGCUGCUUGCUGAGGGCAGGUCUACACUUAAAACAGUGUAGCUGCACCGCUGUAGUGCUUUAGUGAAGAGAGCUUUCCCAUUGGUGUAGUUAAUCCACCUCCCUGAGAGGCAGUUGGUGGGAGGAGCCCUCACGCUGACAUAAUGCUGUCUACAAUGAAACUUAGGUUGGUACAACUACAUCGCUCAGGGGUGUAGAGUUUUUACACCCCUGAACAAUGUAGUUCUAGCAAAGUAAUUCUGUAGCGUAGACCCUACCUUGCUUUAAGGUGAUACUUUCCAGACUGUCUGUGGGAGGGUCUGCCAUGCGUUGCUACAGAGCCCCUUAGCCUGUAAGCAGGACAAGGGAACCACUCAGCCCUGCCUCCCAACUUUUUCCACUGAUAGCUUGCAGUUUGAACACUGUCGUCAAUAUAACUCUGCCAAGCCUGGGCCCAAAAGGUUCCUUCCUCCCAGGGCCACAUUCACUGCUUCAUUCACAUUCUGGUCCAAUCUGCUUCUGAUACACAGACACACUGGCAACUCCAUCACUCAAUCCCCUGAUUUUUGUAAUCAGUCCCGGGGAACCCCUCUUUUUCUGCCUGAGUUACCUUUUUCUCAGGCCUUCCCAUGCAGUCUAGUGCCUUGGGAGGUGGCUUGUAUUGUUUCAGCGUUUGUUAAACAUCGAAGCCAGGUUUAACACAACAUACCACUUUCCUGAAAGGUUUUUUGAACCCUGUUAAUUUUUAAAUGAAAAACACACUCUGAGCAUUGCCCCAUGUGUGUCAACACACACACACACACACACAACACACACACACGUUUUCUGACAUGCAGGGCUGCCAGAGUGAAUAUGGGAAGCCAAAGUAAAUUAUAAUCUGGUAGGGAAAAACAUUAAUGGAAACCUAGAAUUGGGUUUAAAGUCUAAACCUUAAAAAAAGCCACAUAUAACAUUGGUAUAUUACCCUGAGGAAUUAAAACCCAAUUUUUUAAUUUUAGAUUUUUCUGUCUGCCAGCUGAUUUUCAAUGCACAGAUGACACGAAAACCCCUCUAUCAUUCUUCCUAAAACAAGUCCAGCUAAGGAGUCACGUUGCCUUUUUUCUGUCUGCUAUGACUGUAGACUGUUUUUAAAAAUGCAGGCUAAUCUUAGGUUUUGGAGCCAUAGGUGAAUCACCCUGUGUGGGUUCCCAUGCAGUUUCCUCCUCAUCUCUGCCCAAGACCCCACCACCUCUGUAUACCCAUGAAUGCUUCCCUAGAUCAAUUACCUACUGUCUGCAGUCACUUCAUGGUGGUGGUCUCCCAUCACAGUUGUGAUGAGCCAAAACCUCUAGUGGCCCACAUUCACAGCCAUGGGAAGUCAAGAUGGUGAGCUGAAGCUCAGCUUUCCAAGAGGAGAGCAGCAGGGGAGGGAAGGUUAGGAGUUUGUCAGUCUCUCUCCGACAUGAAACUGGUAUGGGACUGCGGCUGGCAGGAUGGGUGUGAGUAAGUGGCAUAGGGCCAUAACUGUGGAAGGCUCCCCCCUGCACAUGGUCACUUUAAAACUCUUUGUAUGAAGAAUGUUAACUUCGGAAAUGUGAAUGACUUUGUCCUUGUGUUGUGUGUGUGUGUGUGU